rnacentral:rRNA from 1 species
GACGAACCGAGCAAACGUUAUUCGGAAUCACUGGGCUUAAAGGGCGCGUAGGCGGGCAUUCAAGUCCGCGGUGAAAUCCGGCAGCUCAACUGUCGAACUGCCGCGGAUACUGGGUGUCUCGAGGGAGGUAGGGGCGUGCGGAACUAUUGGUGGAGCGGUGAAAUGCGUUGAUAUCAAUAGGAACUCCGGUGGCGAAGGCGGCACGCUGGACCUCUUCUGACGCUGAGGCGCGAAAGCCAGGGGAGCAAACGGG